rnacentral:lncRNA from 1 species
AACAAAUUUCAAACAUAUUAGGGGAUUAAGAAAUCAAUUGAGCAAACAAAUUCAGCAAAUUCCAAACAAAUUCAACAAAUUGGUAAAGAAAUUCAACAAAUUUAGGAAAUCUAGCAACAAAUUUCAAACCACAUUCAGCAAAUGCGUAAAUUCACCAGCGAGAAGCACCGUCUUCGCUUGAAACUCCUCGCGCAGGCAGAGCAGACGGAGGAGUUGGAGUCGGGGAGGAAUCAGCGUCGUCGAGGCGGCGGACGACGGCGGACGACAACGUCGUGUAGAUCAGUGUCGGCCCUUCUUCCGCCACCGCUGUAGAUGUAGGAAGAGCUGUUUCCACCGUCGCGUGGUUAGGCUGGAGCUCUGCUCGCCGGACUUGCCCUCUCUCAGCGGCGCGUCGUCCUCGUCGGCGUCGUCUCUCCAGUAGCAGCUCUUGCCCAAAAUGAGAGAGAGUUGGGUUUCUCAAAACUGGGAAGAUUUAACAAAACUAGCAGCGACACCUCUUACCCAAAAUGAGAGAGAGUUAGAUUUUCUUGAAAAUGGGAAGAUUUAAUAAAUUAGAAUUAGUAGUUAAUUAAGGAAUUAAGUGGGUUAUUG